rnacentral:rRNA from 1 species
AGUGGACGCAUCACUGGUGUUCGGGUUGUCAUGCCAAUGGCAUUGCCCGGUAGCUAAAUGCGGAAGAGAUAAGUGCUGAAAGCAUCUAAGCACGAAACUUGCCCCGAGAUGAGUUCUCCCUGAGACUUUAAGUCUCCUGAAGGAACGUUGAAGACGACGACGUUGAUAGGUCGGGUGUGUAAGUGUAGCGAUACAUUGAGCUAACCGAUACUAAUGAACCGUGAGGCUUAACCUU